rnacentral:rRNA from 1 species
GUGAGGAAUAUUGCGCAAUGGAGGCAACUCUGACGCAGCCAUGCCGCGUGCAGGAAGAAGGCGCUACGCGUUGUAAACUGCUUUUAACCGGGAAGAAACCCCAGGACGUGUCCUGGGUUGACGGUACCGGAGGAAUAAGCACCGGCUAACUUCGUGCCAGCAGCCGCGGUAAUACGAAGGGUGCAAGCGUUAUCCGGAUUCAUUGGGUUUAAAGGGUGCGUAGGCGGAGCGUUAAGUCAGUGGUGAAAUCCUGCAGCUUAACUGUAGACUUGCCAUUGAUACUGGCGCGCUUGAGUGCGCUUGAAGUGGGCGGAAUGUGCCGUGUAGCGGUGAAAUGCUUAGAUAUGGCACAGAACACCAAUUGCGAAGGCAGCUCACUAAGGCGAUACUGACGCUGAGGCACGAAAGCGUGGGGAUCGAACAGGAUUAGAUACCCUAGUAGUCC